rnacentral:piRNA from 1 species
UGAACAUAGAGAGAGGGUAUCCAUCAUC